AGUCAGCUGGCUGCUGUAAGGAAGAGUCAGAGCCUAGAGGAGCUGCCUACAAGAAACGUCAAGGAGGUAGGACCAUUCUGUUUACUGAACAUUUCAUUCAGUCCCAGUGCAGAACCAGUGGUGGCAUCUGCUGUUUUCAUAACAACCCAAAGAAGAUGCCAUGUCUCUGAAUGGCUGCCUACCCCCGAUGGCAAAACAGCAAAGAAGUAAUGUGAGAAACAGCUCUGCUGAAAAUAACUUCGGUUAUCAUCACUGGAGCGAGUGGAUUCAUUCCUGCCACAGAAUAACUGGGAGCAGCCUCAAAGGGCAUCACACUCAAAGCUGAGAUCAAGAAAUGAAGAACAAGAGUUUAAUAUCAAGGUCUAUAUCUUUAUCUGGGACUUGGAAAAUUAUGGGAAGAGCCUCCCAGAUUACACUGGUGACAUCUGAGGAGUGCACCAGCUCAGAAGCACAAUUUAGUGUGCACAGCAACAGAUAUUGUGGAAAUUAUUGCUGGGCAAGGAAACAACACUGUUGAUAGAUGAGUGAUUUGGUAAUUCUUUUAAAUGACUGGGAAUUUUUAGAAGCUUUUUGGGGGAAGUGUGUGAAUUACUUUUUUUUUUCGGUGAGGUAGUCAAGGAACUGAAUUCACAGACAGGAGAUAGACUGUUUAAAUAAUGAGAAAGGAAAAUCCAUUGAGGAAGCAGUUUUGGGUGUACAUUUCCAACCCAAGGGACACAGGUGACCCUGACAGUGACCUUAUGGAAUGCUACAGAACUGUAAUGUAAAUAUUGUUAAGAGGAAUGCUGUAUCUAGUGGAUGGUUCCACUUUCUGAAAGGGCAUAAAGUUACUCACUAAGGGCAUAUCACCUCUCACUAAAUACAGAAUUACAAAUUACUGGACUGUUGGCCUGAUGUGCACUUCUCAAAGCUCAUGAGUUAGUGUUUCCAGAGUUUUGCUGAAUUUAAUACUGAAAUAGAAACUGCUCUAUCCAAAUGCUGGCCAAGUUUGGUAAUGUUCCCACUUAGAAAACUGAUGUAGACCCAGACUUCUGUUCUGAAAGCUGCUCUCAGUUGAGUGGAAGGCUGCAAAUUUCAUCUGAACCACAUAGUUAAAAUGCUGCUCUGGUACAGCUCUGAGCAAAUGCAUUGCCUACAUCUUCCUAGACUUGCAUUAGCAUCAUUAGGACACUUAAAUAUUUAAUGGGACCUUUUGAUGAAAAAAUGUGUUGGUGUGAAAGGAAAAGUGGACAGGCUGAAAAACAUUUAAAAUGAAAUGAAUGACUCUGAGCAGAAAAAAGUAUUCAUCAUGCCAAAGUGACGCCAGUUGAAAUUCAAAAUUAUUUAAAAUAUAUCUGGUGGGAAGAAAACUGCUUCAGGUUUUGGAAUGUGAAACCCGACACAGAAAUGAGCUGGUACGGGGAAUACCUCAGAAGCCACUUCAUAACUGGGGAACAGAUGCAUUUCUGCCUUGCAUAUUCUGGCAGACAC